CAUUAGAUGGCUGAAAGUAAGCAUUGGUCUCUUAAACCACAAAAUAAUAGCAUAGCACCUAUUUCUAAUG
rnacentral:tRNA from 1 species